AACGAACGCUGGCGGCAUGCCUAACACAUGCAAGUCGAACGAGACCUUCGGGUCUAGUGGCGCACGGGUGCGUAACGCGUGGGAACCUGCCUUUAGGUUCGGAAUAACUCAGAGAAAUUUGAGCUAAUACCGGAUGAUGUCUUCGGACCAAAGAUUUCUCGCCUUUAGAUGGGCCCGCGUUGGAUUAGCUAGUUGGUGGGGUAAAGGCCUACCAAGGCGACGAUCCAUAGCUGGUCUGAGAGGAUGAUCAGCCACACUGGGACUGAGACACGGCCCAGACUCCUACGGGAGGCAGCAGUGGGGAAUAUUGGACAAUGGGCGAAAGCCUGAUCCAGCAAUGCCGCGUGAGUGAUGAAGGCCUUAGGGUUGUAAAGCUCUUUUACCCGAGAUGAUAAUGACAGUACCGGGAGAAUAAGCUCCGGCUAACUCCGUG
rnacentral:rRNA from 1 species